GUAAGCAUGGGGAGAGAAGGUAUGUGAUGAUGAGGUCCAGAGCAGGGGGCAGAAGCUAGAUGAUACUGGGACUGCUUGCAGAUUUUAUUCUGAGGGCAGUGGCAGGCAUUGGAGGAUUUUCAAGUAGGAGAAUGAAAGGCCUGAUCUGAUUUUUAAAGGAGCACUCUGGGUGCUCUGUGGGAGAAUGAGUGAGAGGGAAGCCAGAAUGGAUCAAUCAAGAAAAAUACUGCAAAAUUCCAGAUGACGAAACUGAGGCUUCGAGAGGCAAAGUGACUGUAACUGUUCAAGAUCACACAGCAAGGAUAUAGCAGAGCCUGGAUUGAAACCCAGAUCUCUGACCCCUGACCUGUGCUCCUAAGCAUCCCACAUCCAGUUCCCCUUGGACUAUUGGCUGAGAUCUCUUGCCUAUCCUCAAGGCUGGGAUAAAGGUGUUGUCACAGCUGGGUGGACAUCCAACUAUAGGUAGUUGGGUGCAUCUACACCAUAUUGACCGUCUACGGUGGUGAUUAUGCCCCAUCUCUCAUGAGCAGAACAUACUAUGGGUGUUAUGGGGGCAAAGAGAAUUCAUUAUCAGCUGGGGCUGCUGUGAAGGCCUUUUGUUGGAAAUGGGGUAGCACCUCCCAUCCCAGGAGAAUUUGGAAAUGUUUGGAGGCAUUUUCGCUUGACCCAGUGACUGACACUUAGUGUGUGCGUAUGUGGGGAGAGGGAGCAGAAAUGCUGAAGAUCUUGGCACACAUAGGUGAACUCUCCCACCCCAAAUGCCAAGAGCACCAUUGAGACCCUGGGCCACUGGGGCCAGUGGCACUGCUGAUCGUGGCUGGACUCAUUCACACAUCUAACAAUUGGCUGGCAGUUGGCUGACCAAGGCUGACCUUGACUAGGGAACCCAGGGUGACUUGGCUUCGCUCCAGGUUCCUCUCAUCCCCCAGGAUGCCAGGUUAGAGAGGACAUGGAAAUACCAAGGCCUCCACUUUGAACUGACACAUUGUCCCUUCUACUGGCCGUCUAUGCGUUAGGCGCAUCAUAAGAGCAACACAGGUUCAAGGAGCAGGGACAUGGACUCUACCUCU